GUCUGGAUAGCUUAAUGGUCUAGAGCAGUUGGAAAGCGAAAGACUUGGGUUCGAUUCCCGAUCUAGCCA
rnacentral:tRNA from 1 species